GAGGAUGUUCCAUUGAAGGGUGCAGCUCCUCAGGUGUUGGGUUCAGAACCAAUGAAGUCACCUUCUGGGGAAACAGUUUGCUCUGCUGCCCUGUGUGACACAGCCGAUGGCUGCUCUCCUGCAGAGAUGGGGCCCUACUGCCAAAAUGCAGUGACUAUGCACCACUGGGACUCUGCCAGCAGCCAGCACCAGGCACAGCCAGGCCAGAUGUGAGUUUCAAGAUCUGAUGGCACAUAAGCCUUGCUGCUUUCACAAAUAGAAACCAAGUUGGGUGCUUUCAUCUGCCCUCUUUGAAUUACAUCGAUUCCAAUUACAGAAAGAAGAAAUGGAGGAGAACUCCCCACCACUCUGUGUCACCUGUGGCCAGGCACAUUUACCAGAGGAAAACCACUUGUACAGCUACACUGAGGAAGUAGAUGAUGAUCUGAUCUGCCACAUUUGCCUGCAACCUUUGCUUCAGCCAUUAGACACGCUCUGUGGUCACACCUUCUGCGCUGCCUGCCUUACGAACUUCCUCUUGGAAAAAGAUUUCUGCCCCAUGGACCGCAAGCUGGUGGCUCUCCAGAACUGCAGGAAGUCCAGCAUACUGGUGAAUAACCUCCUGGACAAGCUAAUGGUUAGCUGUCCUUUCACAGAACACUGCUCAGAUGUUGUGCAACGCGGUCACCUCGAACAGCAUUUCCAAACCCAGUAAGUUUUUGUUGAGGUGGUGGGGUUUUUUCAUUGUGCUGUCUUUUCCUUAAGGAGAUGGAGAAGUAUCAGCAAUUAACACUGAUUUGAAUAGACUGGUAAUGUAAAGAAUGAUUUAUCAAUUUCAGUCCCCGGGAGCAUCUAUACUAUCAUGAGGUUAGAACUAGUUAGUAUUUGAUGAUGUCUCAUGGGCUUUUUUAGAGUCAAAUCCACUUAAGAUACUUCAUGCUAUCACCAGUGGUUCUGGGCAGAUACCUUGUGGUAAGCUGCGUAAUGGAAGUGUGUGUUUAGUCAUCCAGAGAGAUCUGUGAGUUUUGGGAAGCUGAACUAUCAUAA